rnacentral:rRNA from 1 species
GACCUACGGGGCGCAGCAGUGAGGAAUAUUGGUCAAUGGACGAGAGUCUGAACCAGCCAAGUAGCGUGAAGGAUGACUGCCCUAUGGGUUGUAAACUUCUUUUAUAUGGGAAUAAAGUUUUCCACGUGUGGAAUUUUGUAUGUACCAUAUGAAUAAGGAUCGGCUAACUCCGUGCCAGCAGCCGCGGUAAUACGGAGGAUCCGAGCGUUAUCCGGAUUUAUUGGGUUUAAAGGGAGCGUAGGGGGAUUGUUAAGUCAGUUGUGAACGUUUGCGGCGAAACCGUAAACUUGCAGUUGAAACUGGCG